UACGUAGGGGGCUAGCGUUGUCCGGAAUCAUUGGGCGUAAAGCGCGCGUAGGCGGCCCGGUAAGUCCGCUGUGAAAGUCCAGGGCUCAACCCUGGAAAGCCGGUGGAUACUGCCGGGCUAGAGUCCGGGAGAGGCGAGUGGAAUUCCUGGUGUAGCGGUGGAAUGCGCAGAUAUCAGGAGGAACACCAACGGCGAAGGCAGCACUCUGGGCCGGAACUGACGCUGAGGAGCGAAAGCGUGGGUAGCGAACAGG
rnacentral:rRNA from 1 species